rnacentral:rRNA from 1 species
AGAGACAGCAGCAGCCGCGGGAAUACGAAGGGUGCAAGCGUUAAUCGGAAUUACUGGGCGUAAAGCGUGCGUAGGCGGUUUGUUAAGUCUGUUGUGAAAUCCCCGGGCUCAACCUGGGAAUGGCAAUGGAUACUGGCAAGCUAGAGUGUGUCAGAGGAUGGUGGAAUUCCCGGUGUAGCGGUGAAAUGCGUAGAGAUCGGGAGGAACAUCAGUGGCGAAGGCGGCCAUCUGGGACAACACUGACGCUGAGGCACGAAAGCGUGGGGAGCAAACAGGAUUAGAUACCCCUGUAGUCCCUGUCUCUUAUAC